rnacentral:tmRNA from 2 species
GGGGGUGACCUGGUUUCGACGCGGGUCACGAAACCUCAGGGGCAUGCCGAGGGGCAGACCACCUCGUAAAUCCAACUGCAAACUUAUAGUUGCCAACAACGACAACUACGCCCUAGCGGCUUAAUCCCCGCUAGUCUUUCACCUACGUUUCGCCUGUGGGCCGGGAUGAAAGAUCGAUCACACAGGAUCGCGCCGUUUCGUGCCUGUUGGGGCGGCGCUAAAACAUAGCAGGCUCAGCUCGGCGAGGAUCCUGUCUGCCGGAGACCGCCGAGUCAAAUCGAAGACAGACUACGCAUGUAGAACCGGAGCUGUAGGACUUGCGGACGCGGGUUCGAUUAACACA